AGGAGGCUGCACCAGAUUGUCAGCAGCGGCUGGACCACAGAUUUCACCAUGUCGGAGGGAGCAGUGCCCAAGAUGAACCUGAACCUGGAGAUAUCUCCCUCGCAGCUGAGAAUCUCACUGAGCACCUCCAGCCCUGGGUUGGGGUGGGCUCUGGUCACUGCGGGUGUCCUCGGAGCUGCCUCCUUCUGGCUGUGCUGGGUGAGCUCGCCUUCUACCGUCUCUCUCUGGCUGGCAAAAAGGAAUCCAUGAACAAUGUGCAGAACAACAGUUCGAUGAAAUGGCGGUGGUGAGGGGUAUAGGAAGUAAGGGGAGGAAUUUUAUUCAAGUGAAUGAAUUUAGAGGCAAUUUGUCAUUUGACCCCAGAAAGGAGCCAAGAGGGAGACUACAGAAUGCCUCCUGGCUCAGGUCAAAGGGUGGAGGACUCCUCUUGCCUCCCUCCACAUUACAGCAGCCUCGGUGCCCUUGAUUGCACUGGGUGCUGGGGACCUCAUCCCCAGGGCCAAUCCUGCGCUGGUUCAGAGAAAAGGGUUUCAGGAACCCACAGACUUCUUGGAAACCUGAGGGAGGCUGCCUGCCUGCUUCCCCCUCUUUAACUUACCUGUUACAGAACACCAUGUCUCCCCUCCGUUCCCCUCAACCAUUCCCAUCUGUCCCCUUUCUGGUAAACAACCACUUUCAACCCUUUUAGCUUAUGUUUUGUUCUUUACCUCCACGUCUCUUGAUAGCAUACAUUCGUGCUUUUGAUUUUUCACUUUUAGACAUUAUCUUUGACAUUCCAACAUCGCUUCCUCCCACAGUUCCUAUCCUGCCCCCAAACAAAUGCAAUCUCAUCCUCCUAGUGUAGGUAUAUGGUUGUUUUAACCGGACCAGGAGACAGAGUUACAAUUAUUCACUUAUGGAAAUGAUACACAGGCCUAAGACACAUGUUAGACUUCCUUAAUUGUCCUUUCCAUACAUAUUGAUGUUUUUGAGGGGUUUAAUAAUUACCUGAUGGUUUCAUUUUCUUACUUUCCAUGAUCUUCUAAUUUCAUAAAUUUACCCCCCAACUCUCCCCCAGUUAAGUGAAUCUUUUCUCAGUCCCUUCACACUCGUGAUGGUUGUUGUCUAAGUCCUUUUCUUGGUGCAACCUCCCCUCAGUGUUCCCACCCACACAGGCCAGCCUGCUCCUGUCUGGGCCCACUGCCAGCUGUCCUGUAGACUCCUCUCCCUGCCCUUCUCCCUGGUGACUCCCUUUCCCUUCUCAAGGGUUGAUGCCCUUGUUUCCCAGAUCCAAGUCUUCCUCUAUUUUAGUAUACUCCCUUCUUUUCCUGGAGCACAUUGCUGUACUUCCCAAAAAAGGGCUCAUGAGAGGAAAAUUUCAGAUGCCUUCAUGUCUGAUUUCCUUCCUAUUUUUCAGGGAUGGGUUCGGGAGUCAUGGUCACCCCCGGCAGGAACAAGUAGGGUCACAGGAAGAUCCCCACCAAGGAGCAAGAUGACCCUCUAGUGCAUGAAGAGUCUGAGUCAUUCUUAUCCUGAUUUCUUAGGAAAAUAAAAUAAUAUCAGAUCCUGAGGUCUUGUCUGAUUCUUAGAGCCUAUGCAAGUCCUUGUUCUGAAGGAAUGGGUCAUCUUGGACAAGCAUCCUCAGGACUCUGGGUCUCAAUUUCCUUGCUUGGGCAAUGGGCUGAAUUGAUUGCUUUUCUCACAUCCCUAAGGAAAGGCUGUGAGGGGAAGUACUUUGAAGCCCGGGCUCCAACAGGUAUGGACUUUUUGGGCUCCUGUCAUGACUGAUAAAGCCUUGAAUGACUGGAAUACUUAUUCCCUUUUCACCCUGUAAUCUAGGGUUUCCUCCCACCUCCCACCUCCUUCCCUUGUUCUGCAACAGAGCCCAGGUGAGCACCUACAGAGCCUUUGCCCUCUUGAGACACCCUUUCAGCUCCAGGACUGGUCUGGUGGGGACUGCAGGACAGCCUCUGCACGAGGUGGCCCCAGGUUCCCAACAACUCCCUGUACCCCUCUGCACUCAUUUACCUCUGCCCACAAAGCUCUUCCUGGGUUCCAGCUGCUACAAUCUGUUCCACAUGUUAUCAGUUCUUGGGCAGCAUUUGAGCAAGCAGAGUGGCAGGGCGUGGGUGGCUGAAUUCAAGGUGAGGGAGCUAGAAUCCUCUACUGGAGGUUCUCUAUUCUUCAAGAGGAGGAGAGACCCCGUUUUAAAGGAGAGCAGGUGGGUAAGAACCCAGGAGGCUAUUUUCAGUUCAGGCACCAUCCUCCCUGGGACCAGCUAAUUGACAAGCUGGUCUCAUUAGGAGAUGGUAAGAAAAAAAGAGAAAAAAAUCCACCUUGACUUUGUCAUUGUAUAAUUCUUUCCAAAGGCAUCCUCAGCCCCAGGCUUUUCUGGGCAUAGAAUUGCAUGUUUAGUUUUGUUAAAAAAAAAAA
rnacentral:lncRNA from 1 species